AGUGAACGCUGGCGGCAGGCCUAACACAUGCAAGUCGAACGGCAGCACAGUAAGAGCUUGCUCUUACGGGUGGCGAGUGGCGGACGGGUGAGGAAUACAUCGGAAUCUACUUUUUCGUGGGGGAUAACGUAGGGAAACUUACGCUAAUACCGCAUACGACCUACGGGUGAAAGCAGGGGAUCUUCGGACCUUGCGCGAUUGAAUGAGCCGAUGUCGGAUUAGCUAGUUGGCGGGGUAAAGGCCCACCAAGGCGACGAUCCGUAGCUGGUCUGAGAGGAUGAUCAGCCACACUGGAACUGAGACACGGUCCAGACUCCUACGGGGGGCAGCAGUGGGGAAUAUUGGACAAUGGGCGCAAGCCUGAUCCAGCCAUACCGCGUGGGUGAAGAAGGCCUUCGGGUUGUAAAGCCCUUUUGUUGGGAAAGAAAAGCAGCAGGUUAAUACCCCGCUGUUCUGACGGUACCCAAAGAAUAAGCACCGGCUAACUUCGUG
rnacentral:rRNA from 1 species